AUGAACGCUGGCGGCGUGCCUAAUACAUGCCAGUCGAGCGAACAGACGAGGAGCUUGCUCCUCUGACGUUAGCGGCGGACGGGUGAGUAACACGUGGAUAACCUACCUAUAAGACUGGGAUAACUUCGGGAAACCGGAGCUAAUACCGGAUAAUAUAUUAAACCGCAUGGUUCAAUAGUGAAAGACGGUUUUGCUGUCACUUAUAGAUGGAUCCGCGCCGCAUUAGCUAGUUGGUAAGGUAACGGCUUACCAAGGCAACGAUGCGUAGCCGACCUGAGAGGGUGAUCGGCCACACUGGAACUGAGACACGGUCCAGACUCCUACGGGAGGCAGCAGUAGGGAAUCUUCCGCAAUGGGCGAAAGCUUGACGGAGCAACGCCGCGUGAGUGAUGAAGGUCUUCGGAUCGUAAAACUCUGUUAUUAGGGAAGAACAAAUGUGUAAGUAACUAUGCACGUCUUGACGGUACCUAAUCAGAAAGCCACGGCUAACUACGUG
rnacentral:rRNA from 1 species